CCUACGGGUGGCAGCAGUAGGGAAUCUUCCACAAUGGGCGAAAGCCUGAUGGAGCAACGCCGCGUGGGUGAAGAAGGUCUUCGGAUCGUAAAACCCUGUUGUUAGAGAAGAAAGUGCGUGAGAGUAACUGUUCACGUUUCGACGGUAUCUAACCAGACAGCCACGGCUAACUACGUGCCAGCAGCCGCGGUAAUACGUAGGUGACAAGCGUUAUCCGGAUUUAUUGGGCGUAAAGGGAACGCAGGCGGUCUUUUAAGUCUGAUGUGAAAGCCUUCGGCUUAACCGGAGUAGUGCAUUGGAAACUGGGAGACUUGAGUGCAGAAGAGGUGAGUGGAACUCCAGGUGUAGCGGUGAAAUGCGUAGAGAUAAGGAAGAACACGAGUGGCGAAAGCGGCUCUCUGGACUGUAACUGACGCUGAGGUUCGAAAGCGUGGGUAGCAAACAGGAUUAGAUACCCUAGUAGUC
rnacentral:rRNA from 1 species